CCGUGCUAGGCGGGGAACUAGCGGUGCCCUGUACCUGCAAUCCGCUCCAGCAGGGCUGAAUUCCCUCCCGAGGUCUCCGCUCUCGAAAGCCGCCGCCUCGAGCGACGUUGAGGGCCGGGUCCCGCGCAGCGGCGACUCGUGAACCGUGUCAGGUCCGGAAGGAAGCAGCACUACCGCUCGUGAUGGUGGGCACGGAAGCGCCCAGAUCGACGGAGGGUGCACGG
rnacentral:SRP_RNA from 1 species